rnacentral:rRNA from 1 species
AGAGUUUGAUCCUGGCUUAGGACGAACGCUGGCGGCAUGCCUAACACAUGCAAGUCGAACGGGGGUAGCAAUACCCUAGUGGCGAACGGGUGAGUAACACAUAAGCAAUCUGCCCUUCACAGGGGGAUAACAGCGGGAAACUGCUGCUAAUACCGCAUAAGACCACGGUACCGCAUGGUACAGGGGUAAAAACGAAUCAGUGGUGAAGGAUGAGCUUAUGUCCCAUUAGCUAGUUGGUGAGAUAACAGCCCACCAAGGCGACGAUGGGUAGCCGACCUGAGAGGGUGAUCGGCCACACUGGAACUGAGACACGGUCCAGACUCCUACGGGAGGCAGCAGUGGGGAAUAUUGGGCAAUGGAGGAAAAACCUCUUACCCAGCAAUGCCGCGUGAGUGAAGAAGGUCUUCGGAUUGUAAAGCUCUUUGAUUGGGGACGAAGAAAGUGACGGUACCCAAAGAACAAGCCCCGGCUAACUACGUGCCAGCCGCUGC